rnacentral:rRNA from 1 species
AGUCGAGCGCGAAAAGUCUUCGGACCUAGUAGAGCGGCGCACGGGUGAGUAACACGUGAGUAAUCUGCCUUUCAGUCUGGGAUAACAGUGCGAAAGCGCUGCUAAUACCGGAUAAGACCACAAGGCGUUGGCCAGGUGGGAAAAGGGUGGGAUCUCUUCGGAGACCAUCUGCUGAAAGAUGAGCUCGCGGCCCAUUAGGUAGUUGGCGGGGUAACGGCCCACCAAGCCGAAGAUGGGUAGCUGGUCUGAGAGGACGAUCAGCCACACUGGAACUGAGACACGGUCCAGACUCCUACGGGAGGCAGCAGUGGGGAAUCUUGCGCAAUGGACGAAAGUCUGACGCAGCCAUGCCGCGUGAGUGAAGAAGGCCCUCGGGUCGUAAAGCUCUGUUGAGAGGGACGAACAAGCUGGGAUCUAACAGGACCCAGCCCUGACGGUACCUCUUUAGAAAGCACCGGCUAACUCCGUGCCAGCAGCCGCGGUAAUACGGAGGGUGCAAGCGUUGUUCGGAAUUACUGGGCGUAAAGCGUGUGUAGGCGGUGACCAUAAGUCGGGUGUGAAAGCCCUGGGCUCAACCCAGGAACUGCGCUCGAUACUGCGGCACUCGAGUUCGGGAGAGG